rnacentral:rRNA from 1 species
UACAGAGGUCCCAAGCGUUGUUCGGAUUCACUGGGCGUAAAGGGUGCGUUGGUGGCCAGGUAAGUCUGAUGUGAAAUCUCGGAGCUCAACUCCGAAACUGCAUUGGAUACUAUCUGGCUGGAGGGUCGGAGGGGGGACUGGAAUUCUCGGUGUAGCAGUGAAAUGCGUAGAUAUCGAGAGGAACACCAGUGGCGAAGGCGAGUCCCUGGACGACUCCUGACACUGAGGCACGAAAGCUAGGGGAGCAAACAGG